GGAUCAAUAGCUCAGCUGGCAGAGCACCUGACUCUUAAUCAGGGUGUCCAGGGUUCGAACCCCUGUUGAUCCA
rnacentral:tRNA from 1 species